UGUCACAGACCAGGGUCAUUUCUGAGCCCUCUUGGUCUCUCCAUAGGUUGUAGAGUAUCCGGAGUACUUGGAUCUUCGCCCAUACAUGUCUCAGGCAGAUGGAGAAGCACUCCUCUACUCCUUAUAUGCUGUCCUGGUGCACAGUGGUGUCAGCUGUCAUGGAGGACACUAUUUCUGCUACACAAAGGCCAGCAAUGGAUUGUGGUACCGGAUGGACGAUGAAUCUGUGCAGCUGUGUUCCAUUGACACAGUUCUCAGGCAGCAAGCCUACCUGCUGUUCUAUGCCAGAUGCUCUGAUCUGAGAAUUGGAGAAAGGGCUUCUUCCUCACUGGCACCAUCACAUGCCCCUUCCUUCCUCAGUCAGUGUGUGACCAGCAGCAAGCAGGCGGGCUCUGUUGGACCACAGGCUCUGACUGGUAGGACUAAGGUAACUUUGGGGUCAUGGGUCAGGGCAUCAGAGGAAUAGUGGAUUUCUUUCUGGGAUCUCAGCAUUUCUCUUUUGUCCCUCACACACCGCACCUUUCUUCAC